GAUGAACGCUAGCGGCAGGCCUAAUACAUGCAAGUCGAGGGGUAAAUAUGUAGCAAUAUAUAUGAGACCGGCGCACGGGUGUGUAACACGUAUGCAACCUACCUUUUACUGGGGAAUAGCUCAGAGAAAUCUGAAUUAAUACCCCAUAAUAUUAUGAAAUGGCAUCAUUUUAUAAUUAAAGCUCCGGCGGUAAAAGAUGGGCAUGCGGAACAUUAGCUAGUUGGUGAGGUAAUGGCUCACCAAGGCUACGAUGUUUAGGGGGUCUGAGAGGAUGAUCCCCCACACUGGUACUGAGACACGGUCCAGACUCCUACGGGAGGCAGCAGUGAGGAAUUUUGGACAAUGGGCGCAAGCCCGAUCCAGCCAUGCCGCGUGAGUGAAGAAGG
rnacentral:rRNA from 1 species